UGGGGAAUAUUGGACAAUGGGGGCAACCCUGAUCCAGCCAUGCCGCGUGUGUGAAGAAGGCCUUUUGGUUGUAAAGCACUUUAAGCAGGGAAGAAGACUCCAUGGUUAAUACCCAUGGGCGAUGACAUUAGCUGCAGAAUAAGCACCGGCUAACUCUGUGCCAGCAGCCGCGGUAAUACAGAGGGUGCAAGCGUUAAUCGGAAUUACUGGGCGUAAAGCGAGCGUAGGUGGCUUGAUAAGUCAGAUGUGAAAGCCCCGGGCUUAACCUGGGAACGGCAUCUGAUACUGUUAGGCUAGAGUAGGUGAGAGGAAGGUAGAAUUCCAGGUGUAGCGGUGAAAUGCGUAGAGAUCUGGAGGAAUACCGAUGGCGAAGGCAGCCUUCUGGCAUCAUACUGACACUGAGGUUCGAAAGCGUGGGUAGCAAACA
rnacentral:rRNA from 1 species